rnacentral:rRNA from 1 species
AUUGAACGCUGGCGGCAGGCUUAACACAUGCAAGUCGAACGAUGAUUAUCUAGCUUGCUAGAUAUGAUUAGUGGCGGACGGGUGAGUAACAUUUAGGAAUCUGCCUAGUAGUGGGGGAUAGCUCGGGGAAACUCGAAUUAAUACCGCAUACGACCUACGGGUGAAAGGGGGCGCAAGCUCUUGCUAUUAGAUGAGCCUAAAUCAGAUUAGCUAGUUGGUGGGGUAAAGGCCCACCAAGGCGACGAUCUGUAACUGGUCUGAGAGGAUGAUCAGUCACACCGGAACUGAGACACGGUCCGGACUCCUACGGGAGGCAGCAGUGGGGAAUAUUGGACAAUGGGGGCAACCCUGAUCCAGCCAUGCCGCGUGUGUGAAGAAGGCCUUUUGGUUGUAAAGCACUUUAAGCAGGGAGGAGAGGCUAAUGGUUAAUACCCAUUAGAUUAGACGUUACCUGCAGAAUAAGCACCGGCUAACUCUGUGCCAGCAGCCCGCGGUAAUACAGAGGGUGCGAGCGUUAAUCGGAAUUACUGGGGCGUAAAGCGAGUGUAAGUGGCUCAUUAAGUCACAUGUGAAAUCCCCGGGGCUUACCUGGGAACUGCAUGUGAUACUGGUGGUGCUAGAAUAUGUGAGAGGGAAGUAGAAUUCCAGGUGUAGCGGUGAAAUGCGUAGAGAUCUGGAGGAAUACCGAUGGCGAAGGCAGCUUCCUGGCAUAAUAUUGACACUGAGAUUCGAAAGCGUGGGUAGCAAACAGGAUUAGAUACCCUGGUAGUCCACGCCGUAAACGAUGUCUACUAGCCGUUGGGGUCCUUGAGACUUUAGUGGCGCAGUUAACGCGAUAAGUAGACCGCCUGGGGAGUACGGCCGCAAGGUUAAAACUCAAAUGAAUUGACGGGGGCCCGCACAAGCGGUGGAGCAUGUGGUUUAAUUCGAUGCAACGCGAAGAACCUUACCUGGUCUUGACAUAGUGAGAAUCCUGCAGAGAUACGGGAGUGCCUUCGGGAAUUCACAUACAGGUGCUGCAUGGCUGUCGUCAGCUCGUGUCGUGAGAUGUUGGGUUAAGUCCCGCAACGAGCGCAACCCUUUUCCUUAUUUGCCAGCGGGUUAAGCCGGGAACUUUAAGGAUACUGCCAGUGACAAACUGGAGGAAGGCGGGGACGACGUCAAGUCAUCAUGGCCCUUACGACCAGGGCUACACACGUGCUACAAUGGUAGGUACAGAGGGUUGCUACACAGCGAUGUGAUGCUAAUCUCAAAAUGCCUAUCGUAGUCCGGAUUGGAGUCUGCAACUCGACUCCAUGAAGUCGGAAUCGCUAGUAAUCGCAGAUCAGAAUGCUGCGGUGAAUACGUUCCCGGGCCU